UAGGAUAACCAAUCAUCCUGGUUUGCCUGGGACUGAGGGGUUUCCUUGGACACGGGACUUUUAGUGCUAAAGCCAGGAAUG
rnacentral:miRNA from 1 species